rnacentral:sRNA from 1 species
GCCAAACCUAAUGGCAUGCACCUGUAGUCCCAUCUACUUGGGAGGCUGAGGCAGGAGGAUUGCUUGAGCUCAGGGGUUCAGGGCCAGCCUGGGCAACAAAGUGAGACACUAUCUCUA